rnacentral:rRNA from 1 species
GUGCAGCAGUCGCGAAAACUUCACACUGUGCGAAAGCACGAUGAGGGAAUCCCAAGUGCUUGCACGUAAGUGUAAGCUGUUUCUCUGUUUAAAACGCAGAGAGAGUAAGGGCUGGGUAAGACGGGUGCCAGCCGCCGCGGUAAUACCUGCAGCUCAAGUGGUGACCGUUAUUAUUGGGCCUAAAACGUCCGUAGCCGGUUUAAUAAAUGCCUGGGUAAAUCGUGUAGCUUAACUAUACGAAUUCCGGGUAGACUGUUAAACUCGAGACCGGGAGAAGUUAGAGGUACUCCUGGGGUAGAGGUGAAAUUCUGUAAUCCUAGGGGACCACCAGUGGCGAAGGCGUCUAACUAGAACGGGUCUGACGGUGAGGGACGAAGCCCUGGGGCGCAAACGGGAUUAGAUACCCGUGUAGU